UUUUGCCUGUGAUGAACAUAGUUAUCCCUGUCUUAAUAGAGCUCUUUGCACAUGGGGACAUUACUUUCUGAGGCAAUU
rnacentral:snoRNA from 1 species